CCUGAAAAAACUAUUGAUUAUCAAACGUUUUUACAAGACUAUCAAACGAUUUGAGUAAAAAAAAAGUUUAAAAAAUAAAAGUUGGCCGGCCAUCUUCACGCAGGUAGAAGUUGAUCCGAAAACACGUGAUUGCACUAAUUACAUGCAGUAAUGGUGUAUUAUUUUUUAAGCGAUGUGGUUCAGCCACCAAUCACACUGUUUAUGGGAGUUGACAAAUAUGAAAACGAAAAUCUUAUUAAAUGGGGAUGGCCAGAAGACGUUUGGUUUCAUGUGGACAAAUAUUCAUCAGCCCAUGUAUAUUUACGGUUACAACAUGGUCAAACAAUAGAUGAUAUACCCAGCACAGUUUUAGAAGAUGCUGCACAGCUGGUAAAAGCAAAUAGUAUUGAAGGGAAUAAAAUGAAUGAUAUUGAUGUGAUAUAUACAAUGUGGUCCAAUUUAAAGAAAACACAAGGUAUGGAAGUUGGGCGGGUUGGUUUUCAUAAGGAAAAAGAUGUACGUAAAAUACAUUUGACUAAGCGUGUAAAUGCUGUUAUCAAUCGGCUAAAUAAAACGAAGAGAUCAGUGGAACAAGUAAAUUUAAGACUAGAAAGAGAACAACGAGAUAGAAAUGAAAGAGAAAAUAAGAAACAAAUAUUAAAAGAACAAAAGGAGCGUGAGAAAACAGAAGAAAAAAAGAAACAAGAAGAAGCUGAGAUGAGCUACAGCUCACGGCAAGGGUCCUUCUGAUGGAGAGGGUAGAACUUUAAAAAGAUAAGCAAAGAAAGCCAGUCUUCAAAGAUCUUCCAAUGAUCAAAUAACGACCCCAUUGGAGUUCUACGAAUGGGUCCACCUCCAUUCUACGUUAUCCAAUAUCUCUGUUGCCUACGAAACCGAGAAAUUUUACGCUGAAGCAGCUAAUUGUUUGAAAAAACGUUUUGUUGAUUGUAAAACAAUACCAGGAGCUAUAAUUCAUUAUUCAACAGCACGAACAUGACUUCGAACACGGACAAUACAGGUUAUGAUUCAGAUGACUUCAUGUGAUAAAGUUGAAGUUUCAUGUGUGCACCUAGUUAAAAAUCUUGUCUAAAAUAGGAUUCAUCCCUAUUAGCAUUGAUAUUGAAAUGAAAAUAUAAUGCCAGAUAAAUGAUAUCAAACUGUUUAUUCUUAGUCUUAUUUUUAAAUGUUUUUGGGGUGUUAUUUUUCUGAAUAUUAUGCGAAAAUAUAUUGUCCGUCUACAAGUAAAACAUGUUUAUUUGACAAAUCGUAAACAACUUAAUCGUUAGCAAAUCAUACGUGGCUUUCUAUAAAGACACGAAAAUAUAUGCCAAAAUAGGAAAACAUAUUCCAAUGCAAAACCAUGCAUAAGUAUACCUUGUAAACAAAAUUGGAUGCAAAGUGUGACUUGCUGGACCUCAUUGUUUUUGAUCUAUUAAAAAAAAAUACAUGUCACUCCUGAACCAACUAUAUGCAAAAUUAUUGCGACUAAUAAAUUAGAAAAAAGUUGCAAUUAUUAAUCAUUUUGAAACUUGUGCUGAAUUGAUAAACACAAUUUUACUUUUGUUAACGUAUGAAAAGAUUAAAAUAAAACGUUAAAAUGUUGCUUCAAA